GUUAGCGGUGUGUCUGUGUGUGUGUGUGUGUGUGUGUGUGUGUGUGUGUGUGUGUGGGUGUGUUUGUCCGCACACAUACACAAACUGUGGUGUUAGUUAGUUACAUCAGAGGCACUUUGAGCCCCUUUUCUGUGCCCC